CACGUAGGCGGCUUGCCAAGCGUCCUGUGAAAUCCCUCGGCUCAACCGAGGAAUUGCUGGGCGAACUGGUAGGCUUGAGGUAGGUAGGGGCGCAUGGAACUCUUGGUGGAGCGGUGGAAUGCGUAGAUAUCAAGAGGAACGCCGGUGGCGAAGGCGAUGCGCUGGGCCUAUCCUGACGCUGAGGUGCGAAAGCCAGGGGAGCGAACAGGAUUAGAUACCCUGGUAGUCC
rnacentral:rRNA from 1 species